ACCUGGGUGGCUCAGUUGGUUGGGCGUCUGACUUCAGCUCAGGUCAUGAUCUCACAGUUUGUGGGUUUGAGCCCCACAUCAGGCU
rnacentral:tRNA from 1 species